UCCCGGUUAACCCGGGCAGUCUCAUUAGAGUUCCCACCUUUACGUGUUGGCAACUAAUGAUAAGGGUUGCGCUCGUUGCUGGACUUAACCAAACACCUCACGGCACGAGCUGACGACAGCCAUGCAGCACCUGUGCAGAUGUCCCGAAGGAAAGCUCUAUCUCUAGAGCGGUCAUCUACAUGUCAAGCCUGGGUAAGGUUCUUCGCGUUGCAUCGAAUUAAACCACAUGCUCCACUGCUUGUGCGGGUCCCCGUCAAUUCUUUUGAGUUUCACCCUUGCGAGCGUACUCCUCAGGCGGUAUACUUAUCGCGUUAGCUUCGACACAGCUAGGGUUGAUUCCAGCUACAUCAAGUAUACAUAGUUUACGGUAAGGACUAC
rnacentral:misc_RNA from 1 species